AAAGGGCAGCCUCGUGUCUCUCUCUCUCUCCCCCUUCGCACAUCAUGGCUGACCGGAUCAAUAAGGACACAACGUGGCGGUUGCGAGAUGUGAAGGUAUCAACAUCUCCGCCGACUAAUACCGCAACAAACUGAAGUAUCAUGCUUUUCUGCAUAAGAGGAUGAGCACCACCAUACCACUUCAGAGCUCCCAGCAGGGUCUUCUGGAGGACCAUCAGAGGCAUGUUGCCCCAUAAAACCAAGAGAGGCCAGGCUGCGCUGGAGAGGCUGAAGGUGUUUGAUGGCAUCCCCCCACCCUAUGACAAGGGGAAGGGCAUGUUGUCCCAGCUGCCCUUAAGGUUGAAGUCCAUCCUGUGGGCUUUCCUUGAGGACAAGGACAAUUCUCAGCCGUGCCUUCAGUCACAGCUAAUGUGAGAGACACAAUUGAGACCUCACAUCAGGACUUUCAUCACCACAUGAGAAAUUCAUCCGACCAGCACCACCAUGAACAAAUUGAACGGCGCAAGUAGAUUGAACGUCUACUGCGCGAGAUCGACGGGCACAAAGGAAAGACCAGGAAGCUGAAGCACGACGGCGGAGUUAAAACUUCCAGUUUUUUAAUAUGUGGCUGAUUGUGCUAUGAGCACUUGAAAGUUAUUAAAGCUAUGAGUCUAUUGGUUUCCCUUGCACAUUGUGAUCCAACUUGUACAACGAUUUCAAAUGUAUCCCAUUUUGUAGUAGGCAAUUUGAAGUGUAUGUAGCAGGCAAAGUGGCAUAACCUAAACACUUGUGUGCUUUAAAUGUCAACAACAUACUUUCCUGCUUGUAUAAAUAAAGUGCUGUUAAAUGAA